ensembl:lncRNA
GCCUUUUUUUAUUUCUUUUUUAAAUUAUCUCGCAUUAGCUGUGUUUACAUGGGCAAAAUACAUGUUUACGCUAGGCGCUGUAAGAGACGGCAGCCACUCCAGCCGCUCCGCAGCACUGUUUCUCGUUCUUCAAUCCUUUCUUUGUUUCUUUCUUUUUCUUUUUCUUAUCCUACGUUUUACUGAUAGGUAUCCUAUGGAUACGGACGUUUUUCACAUUAGAGCCAGCUCUCUCGUUUAUUCUAGAGAGGUUUUGCUGGCUCUCAGGAAGAGUAAGGACGGAGUGAGGCACAACAUCCCAGUGGAAUUGCGGAGGAGAUACCGGGGCUGCAAAGCCGGGGCUAAGCUAAAGGCUAGGCUAGCGGACAAUCGGAGGCGAUAUAAACCAUCGCUUCCCUCCGUGAUUAUGGGAAACGUCAACUCACUGCCGAAUAAGAUGGACGAGCUGUCCGCUCUGGAGAACCAGCGGAUUUACCGUGAGUGCAACUUGCUCAUUCUGACGGAGACAUGGCUAACCGAUAGCGUACUGGACGCUAACGUGGACCUGCGGGGAUUUACAGCUGUAAGAGCCGACAGAGACACGAAGGCGUGUGGGAAAAGCAAAGGUGGGGGACUCAUCAACUACAUCAGCAGCCGUUGGUGCAACCCUGGCCAUGUCACAGUCAAGGCAGUGUGGUGUUGCCUAAAUCUGGAACUGCUAGCCGUUAGUCUGCGGCCAUAUUAUCUGCCCAGGGAGUUCAGUCACGUGAUCUCCAUCUGUGUUUACAUCCCUCCGAGGGCGGACGCAGCCGCUGCCUGCGAGAAAAUACACAGCAUCACAGCACGGCUGCAGGCACAACAUUCUGAGGCCUUCAUAAUAAUUUCGGGAGACUUUAAUCAUGUCACCCUGGACUCCAUCCUGGCUACCUUUCACCAGGUUGUUAACUGUCCAACCAGGAAGAACAGGACAAUAGAUUUACUGUAUACCAACGUGAAGGAGGCAUACAGAGUCACCGCCCUGCCCCCACUGGGAAAGUCAGACCACAACCUGGUGUACAUACAGCCCCAAUACACACCCCUGGUCCAAAGGCAGGCUGUCUCCACUCGUUCCAUCAGGAGGUGGACUCCUGAAGCAGAGGAGGCACUGAGAGACUGCUACAACACCACGGACUGGGAUGUGCUGCUGGGUGAACAUGACGAGGACAUCGAGGGGAUGACGCACUGCAUCACAGACUAUCUCAACUUCUGUGCAGAUGUGGUCACCCCCACCAAGACUGUUCGGUGUUACCCAAAUAACAAACCAUGGGUAACACAGGAAGUCAAGGCUGUCCUCAACCGGAAGAAGAAGGCCUUCAGGACUAAGGACAAGGAGGAGAUGAAAGCAGCACAGAGGGAGGUGACCAAUGACUUUACUCAUAAAAUCUUUUUUUUUUUUAUUUAGGCCCUAAUACUCUGUCAGACAAUGACAUAUAUAUCUUAAAAUUCUUUUAAACCAAUCUUCCAAACCAUCCAUCUUUACCAACCUUUAGGAAACUCAUAACACAGGCUGGAAUUCUACGGAGUAUAUUAGGAAUUUAAAGAAAGAGCUGCUUUAUGGUAUUU